UACGGAGGAUCCAAGCGUUGUCCGGAUUUAUUGGGUUUAAAGGGUGCGUAGGUGGAUUAUUAAGUCAGGGGUGAAAGCCCGCAGCUCAACUGUGGAACUGCCCUUGAAACUGAUAAUCUUGAGUGCGGUUGAGGUAGGCGGAAUGUGUCAUGUAGCGGUGAAAUGCUUAGAUAUGAUACAGAACACCAAUUGCGAAGGCAGCUUACUAAACCGUAACUGACACUGAGGCACGAAAGCAUGGGGAGCAAACAGG
rnacentral:rRNA from 1 species